rnacentral:rRNA from 1 species
UAAGAAAGGGUAAACGAGGAGGGUGCUGUGUCUAAGAACUUAUUUUAAACUAACUUAAAGGGGAAGAGGCCUUUAUAAGAAAAAAGGACGACAAGACCCUAUGAAGCUUUAUCUUAUUAGGGAUUUGAAAGACCCUUAUACGAUUUUGAUGGGAGAUCAGUAAAAAUAAGUCUUUUACCGUUAUUUUUAUCUUACAAGUGUUUCCUAAUUUUAUAUGUGUGAAUAGCUACUCUAGGGAUAACAGCGCAAUUUCUCCCGAAAGAUGGUGUUGGAGGGGAAAAUUGCCACCUCCACGUUGGC